rnacentral:rRNA from 1 species
AAACCAGCACCUCAAGUGGUCAGGAUGAUUAUUGGGCCUAAAGCAUCCGUAGCCGGCUCUGUAAGUUUUCGGUUAAAUCUGUACGCUCAACGUACAGGCUGCUGGGAAUACUGCAGGGCUAGGGAGUGGGAGAGAUAGACGGUACUCGGGAGGAAGUGGUAAAAUGCUUUGAUCUCUCGAUGACCACCUGUGGCGAAGGCGGUCUAUCAGAACACGUCCGACGGUGAGGGAUGAAAGCUGGGGGAGCAAACCGGAUUAGAAACCCUAGUAGUCC